rnacentral:rRNA from 1 species
AUAAAAAUGGGAGGGCAGGUGGGGGAUGACAGAGGGUGUGAGCGUGAAGGUGAAGGACAGGGCGUAAGGCGAGUGGAGAGGGUUCGUUAAGGAACAUGGUAAAUCGCCUGGCUGGAGCUGGGAACUGCAUGGGAGACUGGGGGUGGUAGAAUAGGGGAGAGGGAAGUAGAAUUCCAUGUGUAGCGCUGAAAUGCGUAGAGAUCUGGAGGAAUACCGAUGGAGAAGGCAGCUUCCUGGCAUAAUAUUGACACUGAGAUUCGAAAGCGUGGGUAGCAAACAGGAUUAGAUACCCCUGUAGUC